GCUGACAUAGCUCAGCCGGUAGAGCAGCUGAUUUGUAAUCAGCAGGUCGUGAGUUCGAAUCCCACUGUCAGCACCA
rnacentral:tRNA from 1 species